AUUGAACGCUGGCGGCAUGCCUUACACAUGCGAGUCGAACGGUAACAGGUCUUCGGAUGCUGACGAGUGGCGAACGGGUGAGUAAUACAUCGGAACGUGCCUAGUAGUGGGGGAUAACUACUCGAAAGAGUGGCUAAUACCGCAUGAGAUCUACGGAUGAAAGCAGGGGAUCGCAAGACCUUGUGCUACUAGAGCGGCCGAUGGCAGAUUAGGUAGUUGGUGGGAUAAAAGCUUACCAAGCCGACGAUCUGUAGCUGGUCUGAGAGGACUAUCAGCCACACUGGGACUGAGACACAGCCCAGACUCCUAAGGGAGGCAGCAGUGGGGAAUUUUGGACAAUGGGCGAAAGCCUGAUCCAGCAAUGCCGCGUGCAGGAUGAAGGCCUUCGGGUUGUAAACUGCUUUUGUACGGAACGAAAAGCCCUGGGUUAAUACCCUGGGGUCAUGACGGUACCGUAAGAAUAAGCACCGGCUAACUACGUGCCAGCCGCCGCAGUAA
rnacentral:rRNA from 1 species